rnacentral:tRNA from 1 species
GCGCGGGUGGCGGAAUUGGUAGACGCACUAGCUUGAGGUGCUAGCGGGUAACACCGUGGGGGUUCGAGUCCCCCCUCGCGCA